CAGGGAGUCCACCAUGUCUGGAAUUGGAACUUGGGGAGCAGGAUCAGUUCACAGCCGCCAUUGAAUGUGUUCGUACGUCUGUCGCCUGUGUGAUACGGGAAAAAGUGAACACUGGGUGCCGUGCAUUGGUUGCCGUCCAUUGCCUGGCCUUGACCGAUGCCGCUCAACUCUAGGACACUUUGACCAGCUUCAUUUUACUCCACUGCCACUGAUUUGUAAAUAGAUUUGAAGUCCUCUUGCUGAAUCCAAAAUAGAGCUGGAUGCACGAGAACACCACAUCGUCAGCUUGUGAUGAGAUGCAGUAUACUGUGAUUAAGAAUUGCCCUACGCCAACAAUGAACCCUCAAGCUUCUGCAAACAGGAAGUAGAAGAAACGACAUUAUUGAAGGACCGACCACGUCAGACGUUCUACCCGAAGUUCUGUCUCUCAAUACUUCCGAGAAAUACAUAGGAAUAUGAAACAAGGCUUCUCUCUCA